rnacentral:ncRNA from 1 species
CACCGUGCGGCGGGAGAGCAUGGCGGAUCCCCGUGAUCCGGGUCCUCGUGACCAGGAAAAGCAGGGCAUCGCGCCAUCGCCGAAGGAGCAAACCCUCCCCGGGAAUCUCUCAGGCACCCGUACCGCCGCACCGGG